rnacentral:rRNA from 1 species
AUUGAACGCUGGCGGCAGGCCUAACACAUGCAAGUCGAACGAGAGGCGGACGGGUGAGUAAUGUAUGGGCAACUGCCUGAUGGAGGGGGAUAACUACUGGAAACGUUAGCUAAUACCGCAUACCAUCAGAUGUGCCCACAUGGGAUUAGCUAGUUGGUGGGGUAACGGCUCACCAAGGCGACGAUCCCUAGCUGGUCUGAGAGGAUGACCAGCCACACUGGAACUGAGAUACGGUCCAGACUCCUACGGGAGGCAGCAGUGGGGAAUAUUGCACAAUGGGCGAAAGCCUGAUCCAGCCAUGCCGCGUGUAUGAAGAAGGCCUUCGGGUUGUAAAGUACUUUCAGCGGGGAGGCGUUACCCGCACAAGAAGCACCGGCUAACUCCGUGCCAGCAGCCGCGGUAAUUC